rnacentral:rRNA from 1 species
CCUACGGGAGGCAGCAGUGAGGAAUAUUGGUCAAUGGACGAGAGUCUGAACCAGCCAAGUAGCGUGAAGGAUGACUGCCCUAUGGGUUGUAAACUUCUUUUAUAAAGGAAUAAAACGAGGCACGUGUGCCUUUUUGCAUGUACCUUAUGAAUAAGGAUCGGCUAACUCCGUGCCAGCAGCCGCGGUAAUACGGAGGAUCCGAGCGUUAUCCGGAUUUAUUGGGUUUAAAGGGAGCGUAGAUGGGUUGUUAAGUCAGUUGUGAAAGUUUGCGGCUCAACCGUAAAAUGGCAAUUGAUACUGGCAGUCUUGAGUACAGUUGAGGUAGGCGGAAUGCGUGGUGUAGCGGUGAAAUGCUUAGAUAUCACGAAGAACCCCGAUUGCGAAGGCAGCUUACUAAACUGUGACUGACAUUGAUGCUCGAAAGUGUGGGUAUCGAACAGGAUUAGAUACCCCAGUAGUC